GGGGCACAGUUCUUCCCCUUGGCAUCUCCCUACUCUGCUCCCCCGCAGAGCAUUAGAUCCUCCGAUGCUGAAAACCCCGUUUCCCUCCAGCAGGGGUGGCCAGUUCAGACCCUGGGUGGCUCCACAGCUGCCAACGUCCCUCACUUUUCUGAGGCUCGAGCCUCACAGACUGUAGGGCAGGUGAUGGGCGAGGGGGAGCAGAAGCCGAACAAAAAGAUCCUGGCCACAAUGAACAAUGGUGCCUGGAAUGCUGUGCCGGCAGCUGCCGCUCAUCAACUGUGCCCACCACAGACAGAAGGACAGUAGGAAGUUCAGGAGAGCCUGCCUGGCAUGGUCUAAGCCAGGGUUGCCCUCUGCGCAUGUGCGAAAUAUUUGUCCGACUCUCUCCCUCCCUCCUUCCAUCUCUCCCCCCAUCCCCGCCCUUCAAACAUUAAAAAAGAAUCAUAUUGAGUGGUAGAAAGCGAAUAGUAAUAAUGAAUUUAGAUAACUUACAACUGCACCAAAACAAGCCAGGGGAACGUGGGGGCCAUUUAUUUCUGAACAAAGAAUCAGGGAAGGACUGGGGUCCCUAAAAUCUCUGCCAGGCCUCACAGCAGGUGUGUUUUGGGAUGGUUUGGGGGGAAUGAUGGGAUGGAUACGUGGUCCCCCCGCCACCCCAGCUUUUCUAGAGGAGGAGGAACAUGGGAGGGACCCACAUCUGAGACGCGGGCACACGUGGAGCCAGCUCUGGGAGGCUGGCCAUGGAGGGGACUCUGGAGCCACAAUCAGUGCGCCUGUCGUCGGGGCUGAGGAUGAAACCUCGGGAGGGAGAGAAGGGGUGUAGGUGGACCUGCAGCAGGAUUGGGAGGCUCUCCCUUCCUCGGUCAGGGAUGCCCACAGGUGCAAGGCCAGGAUGAGAAAGAGGGGGACCAUGCACCCUGGAUGCUGGUGGAAGCCAGGCGGGCCAAGACUGCUUCCCGAGGCCACAUGCUUCUUUAUAUCCCCAUACGGAUUACUUGACUAUGGAAUGUAAGGAAGUGUGUGAUCUCGUUAAGCGCCUCUCCGCGGCCCCAAGCCCGUCCCCCCACCCCCCACCCCCACUCGCCCCGAGCAGGAUUUGGGUGCACAGAGGUAAGCCCCAAGGGCCCAGGCCAUCAGCUACCCCAACUCUAAGGAGGGUCCCCACCCCCUCCUCCUUCACUGCCGCCCAGUCCCAAGAUGGCUUCCUGCUCUGUGUCCUUCUCCUUAGGUGACUCGUGUGACAAAGAGGCUGGGACCACACUAAAUGUACACUACCAAUUCUCGAGCUGAACCACACAAGGAAACCCGGGUGUGUGCUGAGAUGCCCAGGAGGAGGGCUGUAAAAUGGACCCAAGACACAGCAGAACAAGAGAGGAGGAGGAAGGGAAGGAGAAAGGGAGGGUCUACCUUGUCUACACUGGAGGCAGCUGGUGAGGGCAGAGUGGCAGGAGUUGAAGGAUGCCAUGCCCAUAGGGUGACAGCACCCAGAGUACAAGGGCCUGCAGCAACCCUGGUGGCCCCACCCACCUACCUCUUCCUGACCACAAGCCUUUUCUUAGUGUCCUUCAAGGCUAACCAAAUUGGAUUCCUUGAGAGUUGGGGAAACUUAAAAGAAUGCAUAGGAAUUACUAACGAUGGGGCAGCUGCAGGACAGAACGCGGAAACUUAGAGCUUUAGAUCAGCAGUUCUCAAAUGGAGUGAUUUUGUCCUUUAAGGCACAUUUGGCAAUGUCUGGGGAUAUUCCUGGUUGUCACCACUCAGGGGUUCUAUGGCCAUCAAUUGGGUACAGACCAGAGAUGCUGCCAAACAGCCUGCAAUGCACAGCACAGCCCCCACAGCAGAGACUUAUCUGAAUGACAAUAUGCCAAGGUUGAGAAACCCUUGCUUUAGAUGGUGGUGGUUGGAAUGAAAAAGUUCUCUGAGGCAUGUAUUGUCUUCCAAAGAAAAUUAUUACCCUUUUUUUUUACAAACGUUGAUUUGUCUCCAAAUCUGUGAAAUCUGUGAAAUGGGCAGAUGCCUCAAAGUUGUGCUUCUUUCCCAUGACAGACCCUUCCCUUCUCUAAAUCACACCUGCUCAAAAGAUAGCUUUCCUUUUCCUUCCCUGAGAUUGACUUCAUUCCAUCUGCUCAGAAAUGAGGAGGGGGGCAAGAUGUGAGUAAAGAAGAGGGUAGGGAGGAUGUAGACUAAUGUCCUGAGUUAAGGAAAUUGCACCACCCACCAGAGGCUUGACUGAUGAGCUGGACACAUGUGUCUUAUCUGUCCACAUAUCAGGCCGUCUGGCUGACUUCUGCCCCCACAGCCACCUGCUCCCUUGCUCCCAGGAAGGAGCUCAGGAGGAUGGCCAGGCAGGCUAGGACGAGGGUAGCUGGAGGAAGAACUGGUGAUCCAUGGCCACAAGAUACCUGUGUCACAGGUAGGAGGCGAAGGGUAAAGGCAAGAUCCCUGACUGCAGAGCCAUAGGAUGCUGGCGAGGAGGAAGGGAUGAGAACCAGAAAGAUGCUUCCAAGUCAUUCUGCACAAGUGUUCUAGAACCCAGCCCCAGGCGCAGGGCCCCUGCUUUCCCACUACCACUUCACAGUGUGCUUUUACCUCACUGCCACUUCUAGUGCCCUGUUGAGCUCUCUGCUUUCUGGGGUGUCUUAUUCUAGGCAGUGGUCCCGAGCUGGGAUUCACUCGGCAGAGGUCGGCUUGGCUGGGCAAGCCAGCUCUGCUUUUCGCCAUCAGUGGUUUCAACAACUUCAGAGAUGAAGGGGAAAUACUUGCAGCCAAGGGAAGGGAAGUAUGUGAAGGACAUGCUGGAGUUGAGAGUGAAACUCUUGGCCUCCAAAGCAGUGGGAAUUAUCUCUAGGACAGUUGUCUCCUGUGCACCUUUCCUUUGUUUUCCUAAGCCUUACAGCAGGUAGGUGCAACAGAUACAACUCCCCACCAUACAGAUACAGAAACUGAGGUUUGGAGUUCCCAUUAUGGCUCAGAGGUUAACAAACCCAACUAGUAUCCAUGAGGAUGUGGGUUCGAUCCCUGGCCCCGCUCAGUGGGUUAAGGAUCUGGCAUUGCCGUGAGCUGUGGUGUAGGUCACAGAUGCGGCUCAGAUCCUGUGGCUGUGGUGUAGGCUGGCAGCUACAGCUCCAAUUCAGCCCCUAGCCUGGGAACCUUCAUAUGCCACGGGUGCCCCCCCCCCACCAAAAAAAAAAGAAAGAAAGCAACUGAGGUUUAACUUCGAAAAAGCAAGAGAGUCAGGACGCACUAAUGGAAUCUGAACCCAAGUCAGUCUGACUCCAAGGCCACAUGCUUCCCACCCCAUUACGCUUUGCCUCAUCAAGGGAAUAAAGAGGCAGGCAAAGCCUAACCCCUAAUAGCAAUUUCCCAGCAUCAUUCAAAGUGUCUUUUCUUCUUAUCUCUUCCCUUACCUGCUCAAAUACAUGAUUAAGAUAGCCAGGCCACCUUCCUGCAGAAAGUGUCCUUCUUAAUCAGCUCUCUGCCCCCUUGACUACACUUUCCCAGAAAUAUGGAGAAACCCAUGGGUACUUCUGCUCAUUCAGUGGUUCCCAAACUUUAGCUACAUCAGAAUCACCUAAAGAUCAAGUUUUAACACAGAUCUCUGGGCACAACCCUAGAUGUUUGGGACUGGUAAAUAUUGCUUUUCUUUUGCAAGGCAAACCUACCAGUUCUUAGACACAGCAAACCCAGGCUUCUCUUUUAAAAUAUACAAGUAUCUGAAGUUCCCUGGUGGUGCAGCCGGUUAAGGAUCCAGCAUUAUCACUUCUAUGGUUCAGGCUUCUACUGCCGUGUGGGUUCAGUUCCUGGCCUAGAAACUUCCACAUGCCAUGGGUGUGGAAAAAAUAAAUAAAUAAAAAAUAAAAUAAAUGUGAAUCAAGGAUUUCCCCACCUUCCUAGAGCAACCACUUAAUCAAUUCUGGCCAUUCGUCAAAAUCGAACAACCUCAAUGUCUGUGACCUGGAGAAUGACUCAAUAAAUUGAAGUACACUCACAUAGUAGAAAACUGUAAUAUAAUGAAAAUUAAUAAAAGCAGCUGCAACAAAAUACGGAUGAAUCUUACAAAUAUCAUUUUAAGUGAAAAUACCAAGAAUAUGUAUGGUGUCAUUCUAUUAUAUUAAAAAAACAAUAUAUUCCAUUUAGGAAUAUAUGCAUAAAUGGUAAAAAACUAUAAAGAACAUUUACAUUAUAAGGAAAAAAGAGAUCAGACUAAUAGUUACCUUCGAGGGGGAACUACGAGAUAAAUUGGGACAAGCAUUCAGGAAGUUUCAAGAGUAUUGGUUUCAUUGAUUCUUUUGCUAGGGUAAAUGGUUGUUUGUGGGUAUUGGUUUCAUCAUUAUGGGUCAUGACAUAUACUAUAUAUAUAUAUAUAUAUAUAUAUAGACUCUUAUAAAUAUGUCAUAUUUGAAUAAAAAUGAGAAUAUUUUGUUUAUUUUAAAAAUUAAGGUGUAAGCUAUUAAAAAAAUAUACUGAAAUGUUGAACUUUUUGGAAGAUGGGAGGAGAGAAAAUUGUGGCUUUUAUUAUCCAUAUUCUACAAUUCUAUACCAUGUUAGUUCUUCACAGUGUUCAUAUGUGAAAAAGUAUAAGGCUCAAAGAAAGAAAAUAAAGUCAUGCAAUGCAAAAUACAAAUGUUGUGUGGUUUUCACACAUCCUGAGUAAAGAGGUUCUGGGCCAGGUGAGUGCCUCCAGUCUGAUUCAUGCUAAUGCCGGCUCUGUCUGUUGCAGGCUUGGACCAGCGAUGCUUGGGCGGUACCCAGGAAUCCUCACCCUAGAGGCUGCAGUCACCUCCUGCAGGAGCUGCCCCCUGCUCUGGCUGGUCAAACGGAACCAAGUCCGUCUUCCUGAGAGGUUUGGUCCCCUUCAACCAGCUAUAGCAGGGCUGGCAAAGAACAGUCCUUGGAGGAACAGAAGAGAUUCCACUGUGGCUGAAAUUACCUGCUAACAUUUCCCUUAAGAAACCAACUCUGAUUUUGUUAUCACCCUCUCAUGUUCCCAGGAAGGAAGAAGGGAGGAGGCCAGGGUUUAAAAAUGAGCCAGAUUACCAUGCCCAACACACAGAGCUCUGUGUCUGUGUCCACAACUAGACCUAUUUGCACGCUCUCGACACACAGUAAUAGUUCUAGGAUGGGAUGUGUUUUGGCCCUGGGCCAGCCAGGGGAAGAGUAUGAGCCCCAGAAGAUAGGGCUCCUGCUCCAAGGAAAGAAAUUGGGCAUAUGAGUCAGUUCCUGCUGUGGUUUAGAAGGUUAAGAACCCGGCUGUUAUUCAUGAGGAUGCGGGUUUGAUCCCUGGCCCCACUCAGUGGGUUAAAGCUCUGGCAUUGCUGCAAGCUGAGACAUAAGUUGCAAAUGAGGCUCAGAUUCAGUGUUGCCAUGGCUGUGGCAUAGGCCUGCAGCUGCAGCUCUGAUUGGACUCCUUGUCUAGGAACUUCCAUAUGCUACAGGUGCGGGCCUAAGAAGAAAAAAAGAAAGAAACUGGACUAUAUAUACAGUACAAUUCAAUGGAAUGGCAAGUCACAGUGCGGCUAGUUCCGAGACAUAAUUCUUUUGCACAGUCCACCAGACAUGCCUGGCACCCUGGGUACCAUUAAGUCUGUGCUGACUGAGUCUGCUCAAGACAUGUUCACUAGGAAAUACACCCGUGACUCAGUUUCCCAUCUACAGAAUGGGAAUAAUCAUUAUCCAGUACCAAUGACAUACAGUUUUAUGGGGCGUGAAAUGAGAAUACAUGCAAAGGAGUUGGAAAAUUCUCAAUAAUAUGUACCUGCUAUUAAAGGGGGGAUCCUGACAUGCCUUCCAAUUUCUCCUUCAAAAUUUGUAUCUUUAACAAUGUGAGAGUUCCCAUUGUGGCUAAGUGGUAGUGAACCCAACUAGUAACUACGAGGAUGCAGGUUCGAUCCCUGGCCUCACUCAGUGGGUUAAGGAUCCGGCAUUUCAGUAAGCCGUGGUGUAAGUUGCUGAUGCAGCUCAGAUCCCAUAUUACUGUGGCUGUGGUGUAACCUGGCAGUUGCAGCUCAAUUCGACCCCUAGCGUGGGAACCUCCACAGGCCUAAGGUGUGGCCCAUGAAAGCAAAAAAAGGGUAUCCCCAGGACUUAUCUAGGGCUCAAUUACAUUUGUUUGAAUUCCAGAAGCAUGUGUUCACGAAUGUGGUUUGGUGAUGCCCAGGGACCACCACGUCUCCACCCAGGGAAGUGUGGUGGUUUCCCCAUACUUGCCUGGGGUCAGGGAGACCUGGGUGUGAAUCCUGCCCUUCUCAUGUAUCAGCUCUGAGGCUUCCUCCCUCAGCCUCAAUAAACAUCAUGUAAAACUUAGUUCCUCAUCUGUAAAAUGGGGGCGAUGUCACUUAAAGUUGAUUUAAGGAUUAUAAAAGGUCGUAUUUAUAAAGAGCUACAUACAUGCCACCAAGACCUGGCAGCUGUAGUCCUUUUGCUGUUGUUCAUGGCCACAGCUCAAGACAAUGUUGUGUCCACAGGUACUUGUAACUGGAAGGGAAAGACUAGAUUUUAAAAAUAGGAAAACUCAAAAAACAAAAACAAAAACAGAGUUCCCUUCAUGGUUCAGCAGUUAAUGAACCCGACUAGGAAUCCAUGAGAAUGCAGGUUCGAUCCCUAGCAUUGCUCAGUGAUUAAGGAGCCGGCACUGUGGUAAGCUGUGGUGUAGGCUGCAGACUCGGCUUGGAUCUGGCGUUGCUGUGGCUGUGGUGUAGGCCAGCAACUGUAGUUCCAAUUUGACCGCUAGCCUGAGAACUUCUAUGUGCUUUGGGUGUAGCCCUAAAAAAAAAAAAAAAAAAAAAAAAAAAAAAAAAAAAAAAAAAAGCCCUCAUUACCAGAUAAUUUUAGAUUCCAGCUAUUAAUUCUACUCUUGAGUAGCAUGCCCUCAUCCUUGUAUGUGUUAUUACUAUAUAAUAAAUUU
rnacentral:lncRNA from 1 species